CUUCGCCCUCUGCAGUGCAGUGCAGUCAGUAGCGCUCCUCUUCAUCUUCCUCUCCCCUGUGCGAGCCUCCCUGCUGGUCUGACCGAUGCCCCGAUCCAAGGAGCUGGACGUCCGAGCCGUGACUAGGCUCCACACGGAGCUGAAGUGAUGCCCCUUGCGACCAUACCACAGAUAUGAAGACGCAAAUCCAUCUAUCCAUUUUCCAUACCGCUUGUCGUUAUUAGGUUGCGCGUGGGCUGGCGCUUGUGCCAGUUGUCUUUGGGAAAGAGGUACGGUCUGGAUUGGUCGCACGCCAAUCGCAGGGCACAUAGAUAAACAACCAUUCACACCAAUUUAGAGUCUUCACUGAACCUAACAGGCAUUAUUUUUAGAAUGUGGGAGGAAGCUGGAGUAUUUGGAGAAACCCAUGCAAGUAUGGAGAGAAUAUGCAAACUCCACGGAGGCAAGAGAGAAAGGUCGCUCUUUUCAGUCUUUUUCAAUGAAAAUUCAAUAUUAUAUUCAUUGGCAGAACGAUGUCCCAUUGGGUAGCUCAUGGCAUGUUCUGCCCGUGCUUGCGUGUAUUUGUUUCAGCUCCCUUCCAAAUUCCAAAAACAUGCAUGUCAGGUUAAUUGAAGACUUGAAACAGUCCAUUGGACUAAAUGUGAGUGCGAAUGGUUGUAUGUGCCCUGCGAUAGGAUGGCAACCAAUUUAUGGUGUACACUGUCUUAUGCCCAGCUCACUGUCUUAGGAUCCAGCUCACCUGUGACCUUAAUGAGGACAAGCGCUAUAGAAAAAGGAUGGAUGCAUUGUAUUAGUUUGAGGCAUCUUAAAAGGUACAGUAUAUUUCCAUCGGAUGUCUUUGCUAUUUGGGGUAGAAGUGCACAUGCACGUUAUGGAUUCAUAAAAUACUGUAUUUGGUUCAGUUUUCACAUUGGGUUACCAAACAAUCACAUAUAGUGAUGUGUGCUACUGCAAGAUUUGAUACCAAGUAAAUGCCAGGCCAGUAUGUAAGAUAUUGAUAAUGAUACUGUCAUGAUCUGUGCAAUGCAGUUUCUCCUUUGGAGCUUGGUUGGCGCUUUGUGCCUCUCUCUCUCUCUCUCUCUCUCUCUCUCUCUCUCCAGUAAUCAGCAUCACCUUGGCCGUGCACCUGUCUUCAAUCAGCACUCAUCACUGCCUGCAUACACUAAACCUGUCAGUUCCGGGAAGCCGUCGCCUGAGUAUUGACACUUGUUGGUGACUCACCAGCCGACUCUCGUACUUCCAUGUUCCUUCGGUGCCUUCCCCAUCUUGCUGACUGUUCCAGCCACGCCGCCAAGCUACCCCACCUGCUUACGUUCCCGCUUCCUGCUCGCUCCUUGUCCCGACGGUCCACCACCUCGCCUGGGAUAUCAUUACCCUGCGCCAUCCUGCAAUAAACCAUUCUAAAUCUACUCCCUCUGCCUCAGUCUGCUCAAUCCAAGUCACAUCCGAC